UGGGGAAUUUUGGACAAUGGGCGAAAGCCUGAUCCAGCAAUGCCGCGUGUGUGAAGAAGGCCUUCGGGUUGUAAAGCACUUUUGUCCGGAAAGAAAUCCUUGGCUCUAAUACAGUCGGGGGAUGACGGUACCGGAAGAAUAAGCACCGGCUAACUACGUGCCAGCAGCCGCGGUAAUACGUAGGGUGCAAGCGUUAAUCGGAAUUACUGGGCGUAAAGCGUGCGCAGGCGGUUUGCUAAGACCGAUGUGAAAUCCCCGGGCUCAACCUGGGAACUGCAUUGGUGACUGGCAGGCUAGAGCAUGGCAGAGGGGGGUAGAAUUCCACGUGUAGCAGUGAAAUGCGUAGAGAUGUGGAGGAAUACCGAUGGCGAAGGCAGCCCCCUGGGCCAAUACUGACGCUCAUGCACGAAAGCGUGGGGAGCAAACAGGAUUAGAUACCCUGGUAGUCCACGCCCUAAACGAUGUCAACUAGUUGUUGGGGAUUCAUUUCCUUAGUAACGUAGCUAACGCGUGAAGUUGACCGCCUGGGGAGUACGGUCGCAAGAUU
rnacentral:rRNA from 1 species